ACGUAUGGAGCAAGCGUUAUCCGGAUUUACUGGGUGUAAAGGGAGCGUAGGCGGUUCUGCAAGUCUGAUGUGAAAGGCCAGGGCUCAACCCCGGGACUGCAUUGGAAACUGUAGGACUAGAGUGUCGGAGGGGUAAGUGGAAUUCCUAGUGUAGCGGUGAAAUGCGUAGAUAUUAGGAGGAACACCAGUGGCGAAGGCGGCUUACUGGACGACUACUGACGCUGAGGCUCGAAAGCGUGGGGAGCAAACAG
rnacentral:rRNA from 1 species